rnacentral:rRNA from 1 species
UACAGAGGUCCCAAGCGUUGUUCGGAUUCACUGGGCGUAAAGGGUGCGUAGGUGGUCGGGUAAGUCUGAGGUGAAAUCUCCGAGCUCAACUCGGAAACUGCCUUGGAUACUAUCCGGCUUGAGGGUUGGAGGGGGGACUGGAAUUCUCGGUGUAGCAGUGAAAUGCGUAGAUAUCGAGAGGAACACCAGUGGCGAAGGCGAGUCCCUGGACAAACUCCUGACGCUGAGGCACGAAAGCUAGGGGAGCAAACAGG